AUGCUCGCUUUGGCAACACAUAUACUAAAAUUGGAACAAUACAGAGGUUAGCAUGGCCCUUGCACAAGGAUGACACACAAAUUCGUGAAGGGUUCCAUAUUUUU